rnacentral:rRNA from 1 species
AUUAAACGCUGGCGGCAUGCCUUACACAUGCAAGUCGAACGGUAACAGGUUAAGCUGACGAGUGGCGAACGGGUGAGUAAUAUAUCGGAACGUGCCCAGUCGUGGGGGAUAACGUAGCGAAAGCUACGCUAAUACCGCAUACGAUCUACGGAUGAAAGCGGGGGAUCGCAAGACCUCGCGCGAUUGGAGCGGCCGAUAUCAGAUUAGGUUGUUGGUGAGGUAAAAGCUCACCAAGCCUGCGAUCUGUAGCUGGUCUGAGAGGACGACCAGCCACACUGGAACUGAGACACGGUCCAGACUCCUACGGGAGGCAGCAGUGGGGAAUUUUGGACAAUGGACGCAAGUCUGAUCCAGCCAUUCCGCGUGCAGGAUGAAGGCCCUCGGGUUGUAAACUGCUUUUGUACAGAACGAAAAGGUUUCUACUAAUACUAGGAGCUCAUGACGGUACUGUAAGAAUAAGCACCGGCUAACUACGUGCCAGCCGCCGCCGCGG